GUGCUUGCUUUGGCAGCACAUAUACAAAAAUUGGACCAAUACAGAGAAAAUUAGCAUGGCCACUGAGCAAGGAUGACAGGCAAAUUCAUGGAACAUUCCAUAUUUUU